AUGCAAGUCGAACGAUAUCAUCCAGCUUGCUGGAUGAGAAAGUGGCGCACGGGUGCGUAACGCGUAUGCAACCUACCUUCAUCUGGGGGAUAGCCCGGAGAAAUCCGGAUUAAUACCGCAUAAAAUCACAGCACUGCAUAGUGCAAUGAUCAAACAUUUAUGGGACGGAGAUGGGCAUGCGUGUCAUUAGCUAGUUGGCGGGGUAACGGCCCACCAAGGCGACGAUGACUAGGGGAUCUGAGAGGAUGGCCCCCCACACUGGUACUGAGACACGGACCAGACUCCUACGGGAGGCAGCAGUAAGGAAUAUUGGUCAAUGGAGGCAACUCUGAACCAGCCAUGCCGCGUGCAGGAAGACUGCCCUAUGGGUUGUAAACUGCUUUUAUCCGGGAAUAAACCUAUCUACGUGUAGAUAGCUGAAUGUACCGGAAGAAUAAGGAUCGGCUAACUCCGUGCCAGCAGCCGCGGUAAUACGGAGGAUCCAAGCGUUAUCCGGAUUUAUUGGGUUUAAAGGGUGCGUAGGCGGCCUGUUAAGUCAGGGGUGAAAGACGGUAGCUCAACUAUCGCAGUGCCCUUGAUACUGAUGGGCUUGAAUGGACUAGAGGUAGGCGGAAUGAGACAAGUAGCGGUGAAAUGCAUAGAUAUGUCUCAGAACACCGAUUGCGAAGGCAGCUUACUAUGGUCUUAUUGACGCUGAGGCACGAAAGCGUGGGGAUCAAACAGGAUUAGAUACCCUGGUAGUCCACGCCCUAAACGAUGAACACUCGCUGUUGGCGAUACACAGUCAGCGGCUAAGCGAAAGCGUUAAGUGUUCCACCUGGGGAGUACGCUCGCAAGAGUGAAACUCAAAGGAAUUGACGGGGGCCCGCACAAGCGGAGGAGCAUGUGGUUUAAUUCGAUGAUACGCGAGGAACCUUACCCGGGCUUGAAAGUUAGUGAAUCAUUUAGAGAUAAAUGAGUGAGCAAUCACACGAAACUAGGUGCUGCAUGGCUGUCGUCA
rnacentral:rRNA from 1 species